AGCCCCUUAGUGUAGUGGCCAAGCAUCGAGGGCCCUGACCCCUUUGACGUCGGUUCGAAUCCGGCAGGGGCUACCA
rnacentral:tRNA from 1 species